AGGAACACGUGAAGAAUCUGCCCUCCACUUUGGGAUAACAGUUGGAAACGGCUGCUAAUACCGAAUGCCGUUACGAAGUGGCAUCACUGAGUUUUGAAAGAAUUUCGGUGGAGGAUGACUUCGCGGCCUAUCAGCUAGUUGGUGAGGUAAUGGCUCACCAAGGCAACGACGGGUAGCCGGCCUGAGAGGGCGACCGGCCACACUGGGACUGAGACACGGCCCAGACUCC
rnacentral:rRNA from 1 species